AGAGGGACCAUUUUCAGCGACACCUUACAAUUUCAUGGAUGUAUUUGCCAAUUCACAAAAUUUAAGGUCUAUUUUGACCGAUGUUUAAAGCUUUGAGGACUAAUUUUCCUAUUCACUCAUUAAGAUGACACAUAUGCGACAUGCUCCCUGAGGAAAAUAAUAUCGCUUCUGGAUAAUAACAAUAAGAUAUAGUGUACUAUGCGAUGAAGUCUUUUAUGUUAGAUGUUUCCCUAACCCACCAAGUACCCACUCUAGUUUUGGGUCUGCAUUUGUAAAUAUACUGAUUACUGCAUAAUGCAAUAAUAUGUGAUUUGGAAUCUAAACAUUCAAUUGUUUCUUCCUUUUGUAAUACUUUGAGACAGUGCUUAUAUCAGUUUUCCCUAACCCUCCUUGUUUGUUCAUUGUUCUUUAAAUACAGGAUGUUGCAUUAGCAUCUGUUUCGAUGAGGUCAGUACCAUUCGCACCAGUUUUAGAGAAACUUUCCCUUUCAGACGCGAAAUAUAGAACAGUGAGGCGGUUUUAUAUAAAAACUCUUGAAGACAAUGCCAUACCUACUGCACUGCAAGAAAACAUGAUAAAUGCAAGCCCUCCAGAGAAGGUUUUCCAUUUAAAGGGCGCUGAUCAUUCUCCUUUCUUCUCAAAGCCUCAAGCUCUUCAUAAGUUAUUGGUAGAAAUCUCAACAAUACUUUGAGAAAAAAUUCAUUACCUAAAUUGUUUGUGAAGCUUCAUUCACGCUAAAGCUUCACUAAAAUGAAAUUUUAAUGUAUAGUUCCUUUAUCAUGAAUGAGUAUUGUGUGCAAGUUACAGGUUUCCUUCUUCCCCUUCUUUUUUUGGAGUUCGAAUUAGGAAAACUAGCUUGUAUUGUAUCUUCCACCUAAAUGUAGCACCGACACUUCAAAUUGAAGACGUGUUCAGUGUCCGACACAUGUUAUAUUCUGACAUAAGAGAGACACACGUGGUUGGUUACAUUCAAUUAUUUAUAUUUUUCAAAUUAUUAUCAAUGUCAGCAGAUCAGUAUUAGUGUUGUGUCUGGUGUUCAUGUUUGUAUUGGUGUUUCAUGCCCUCAACUCAUAACAGGCAUUUCUUGCAAAAAAAACUUGUUAUAUUGCUAGUGUUACAUGUAAAAAAGGCCAAAGUUUGAUGAUUAAUAAAAGGGAAAUGCUAACCGAUGCCCCUGGGGCACCGGUUAAGGAUAUGAAAAAGGAAAUUAUAUAGUAGUUAAUACAUUGAAAUUGUUUAAUUAAUUUAUAAUAAAGUCAGAAACAGUUUACUUUUAUGGUAAUAAUUCCCUUUUAUGGUAUGCUUAACCAGUGCCUUAGGGGCACCGGUUAGCAGGACCCAAAAAUUACAAGUAACCCUUAUUGAUUAGAGAAAAACUUGCCACUAAUAAGUAAAUCCUAUGGCAACAGAAAAGAUAAGGAUAACGCAUUGGCAAGUUGCAAGGAAGAAAUCGAAUGUUGUAUUUUUAGGAUGUUUUUCACAAUAUUUUUGCAUGUCACUCAAAUAAUAUCAAUAUUUUGUACAAUUAUUGUGCUUUACAGUUGAAGAAAGCUGAGAUGCUGUGUUUUGUUUUGGCCUAUUCUCUUUAUGAUUGAUGGUCAUUCAUGAUUAUGUUGCUAUUUGGGAAUGCCUCCGGUGGUGGUUUUAAAAAUUAUAAUAGGGGAAAAUUUUCAAGUAUUAGAGUAAAGAAAAGCUCAAAUGUGUGUUGUUAAGUUACAGAAACCUUUUUUGUUUUUCUGUUUUUAUUAUUUAUUUUAAUUUUUAUGAGAAGUAACAGAAACAUGAGCACUUAUAUAGUCACUAAAAAAUAAAACAUAGUUGGCACUAAAAAAUUUCAAGAUAUGAUCAAACAACAUCUUUUAUGCUGUGCAAAAAUUAUUUCGUUUUACAUUAUACAUGUUUACACUAUACUUGCAUGUAUAAAAGAGUGUUCCAUGUAACCGCUAAAUAUAAAUUUUGAAGUUUUGGCAUGAAUACGACCGUGUUCUUUGAUUCCCAAUCCCAGAGAAAGGCUGUUCUCGAGUACCUAGCCUCGCUGAGACUGUGCUCUCCUUGUAGGUGUGCGAUCUCAUAAAAUGCAGGUCACUCCAUUCAUCACUCAUAUAUGUCCUAUCUUUUUGGGUCAUACCAAAUUGGCUAUCUUCUUCACUCACUACCAAUUGCAAUGCAAACUCUAAACCCCCAACCACUUGACUCAUUGAGGGUCGUUGAGUCCCAUCAUCAUGCAAGCAACUUAACGCCAACUUGCAAUAAUAUUUCAAGCACUCAACUGUGAUAGAAUCCCUUAAGAAUGGAUCGACUAUUUGUUCAAUCGCCACACCUUCAUUAUGGCAUUUUUGAAACCAACAAACUAGACUAGCUGUAUUCUUAUCCAAAUCACGAACCAAAGGUGGUCUAGCACACAACACCUCAAGAAGCACCACACCAAACGAGUACACGUCAGAUUUUAGAGUUAGCCUUUGGAGCAUAUAGUAUUCGGGAUCCAAAUAUCCAAGGCUCCCCUUCACCAUCGUGCUGACAUGGGUAGUCGUUAUUCCUGUAGGUCCCACCUUGGAUAACCCGAAAUCAGAAACCUUAGCUACCCAUUUCUCAUCCAACAGUAUGUUGGUGCUCUUUACGUCACGAUGUAUUAUCUUGUGCUUCACCUCAGAAUGAAGAUAAUUCAGCCCUCUCGCUGCACCCAAUAGGAUCUCAAGCCUCUGCUUCCAUGGUAGGGGCUGAUUAUUGGAACCAUACAGAUACUCGCAGAGAGUACCGUGCUGCAUGAACUCAUAAACCAGAAUCAUCUCUGUGUUGUCAUUGCAAUAUCCUACAAGGGACACCAAGUGAAUGUGGCGAAGCUGGGAGAGCAACUCGAUUUCGUUCAUGAACUCGUUGGCACCUUGUUGAGAGCCUGAUUUGAGGCGUUUUAUCGCAACAGGUGUGGAUCCAUCGACACAACCUUUGUACACGUUCCCAAACCCUCCAAAUCCGAUGAUGAAAUCAUUGUCAAAGUUGUUUGUGGCUGCUUUGAUCUCCGCGAUUGUAAAGUAGCGACACAAAUGCGGCUGCAGAGAUAAUAACUCUAUGUUCUUUGUCUUACACGAAUUAUCUGCCAUGGCAUUGUGUAACCUUCUCCUUAGCCAAAAAAUAGUGAUACCCACAACAAUUGUUAGCGUGAGGCCUGAAAUUGCAAUAACAACAACAAAAGCUGUGGUGAUCUUAAUUUUUUUUGACGACUGGGUUGAAAAUUCUUGAUGCCGGGGAGAUAGACCAAUGAAUUUUGAAAUUUGCCCUGCAAGAUUAGUUUUAUCACUUAUUUUGAAAAUCUCAAUUCCAUUCAGCAGGACAUCACGAUAUAUUGUGUGUAUAGUUUCUGGUGCUCGUCGAAGCUUGAUUGAAAGAUUAACUCUUUCAAUUUGAGAGCUUCCUUCUUGAGAGUACAUAAGCACAACAUAAUCCUUAUGAGUAGGAACCAUACGAGCACCACUCCACCUUAUCACAUCAGCUUUUUCCUCAGCUAGAAUGUUAGCUAUGAAAAUCUGAAAGACUCUAUCACCUUGAUCUCUUAUCGUCAUUUCAAACUCACAAAAAUGUAAUCUUACCAUAUAAGUAAAAGAAGAAUCAACUUCAAAAUUCCAAGUUACAUUGUAAUCCUUUGUUGCAUCCAUUCCAUAACUUCUCGCAGUUAAGUAAACAGCUUCUGGUGCAGUGUAAUUUGAAAUGGUAUUGUUUAAAUAGUUUAGAUGAUGUCCAAAAUAACUUGAUACACUAAGUGGAUAUUCUUUCUCCAAGUAACGAGGAAAAUCAUUGUCCCAAUUGCGAAACAUACCUGUAUCAUAAUUUGGUGGAACUUGAUUUUCACCAGCGUUGACUCUAUAAACUGUUUCCAUAGCUUUGUUGUUAAGAAUCUGGUAUUCACCGCUGUCAAAAUCAAGUAUCUUUAAAUGGUAGUUCGUGUCACUGAGAUUAGUGUAAUAGAGAAAAGAAGGCAUAGACACAAUCUCAAUUCCGUUGAUGAAAGCUAAACCAUUUAAUUGGUUUGUGUUUGUAUUUUUGGGAAUGAAAGUUAUGUUUAGCUUCUCAUUUGGAGCAAUUUGUAUGCAAUAUUCUUUGGUGAUUGUCUUGCUAUCGUUUGAAAGCCAAAGCGAGGGAUUAAAGUCUUUGAGAAGGGUAAGGUUGGUUCCUACUUUGACUGUGAAGAGGGCGUUGGAGGUUUCAAUGUGUUGAUACGAAUACGAUGUUGGAUAAAAAUAGAGGCGAAGAAAAAUAGGGCCAUUGGUGAUGGAAGAAAAGGAGAAUGUGAAAUUCGAAAAAGAAAUACGUGCAGAGGCGAAGGGAAUUCGCUUAACAGCAUCAGAGUUAGGAUUAGCUUUGGCUUUGAAAGACGGGAGUUCGGUUUGUGGUUCAAUGAUAGAGAAUAAUUUGGUGUUAUCCCUGUCCCCAACCCAUGUUCGAUUUUCAAAGAUAGUAUCGUUGAAGUGGCCACAAUUCACUGCUAAAAUAUCAUACAAGCUGUUAACCUCUAGAGGGAACAACAAAAGAUGAAGGAGAAACAAAUUACUAGACAGUAGGGUGAUUUUACUAGGAACUAUGUUCUUUAGGAGGUUGGCCAUAGCUAAAGAAUUUUUGUUGAAGUUUGCCAUGCAAGAAGUUGCAUUUAUUGAGGGGGAAACGUGUAUAUUGGAUGGGAAAAUAAUGUUUGAACUUUCAACAUCAAAAUGACAAUCAAAUGGUGUUUACCUAAAUAAUUUGGUAUGAGUGGAAUUGGAUUAGAAUUCUUAAGCAAAGUUUUGGAUUCGAACUUAAUGGAUGACAAUAAUGUAAUUGAAAUGAGAGACUCCAUUAAAGAUGAACAAUUCUUUCUUUCUAUAAAGAAAUGAUAGUCAAUUCUCGCAAAGAUUUGUUAUUAGCAAAUGCGAUAGCCGAUAGACACUUCACAUAUAGUUUGAUUUAAACAAAGAAUAAAUGUGGUUAUUUUGGUGUAUUAGUUUUUAAAUCCAUAAUGGAUUAAAUAAUUUAUUUUUUAGGGACGAUUAGAUGAAAUUUUUAAAUGAAAAAUAGAGAUAAAAAUAUAUGGUAUAAUGUAUGAUAUCCUAAAUUUGAAUUUCAAAUAAUAAAAUUGUAGCCAUCGAAUAAAGAAUUAUUUUGUAAAACGUAUUAGAAGAUAGGGAAAUCACUAAGAAACAACAUCAAUAGGCACUUGAGCGUAGAAAAAUCUACUCAAAAAUAUGUUUCUAUUUGAUCCUUUUGGUUCUUGUUAGCCAAAAAAACUAUGAUAUCCAUGACAAAUGCUCACGAGGUCGGAAAUUGUAAUCACAACAAUACUUGAUACGGGUGAGAUAGAUCAAUGGUUUUUGAUAUUGAUCCUGCAAUAUUCAUAUCCACAUAAUAUAAUAAAUAUACAUAAUAUGCUAUGCCUGCUAGAAGUCAUCUAUAUAAUAACAUGCAAUAGUGGGAUACCACGAGGAGACGAAGACUUGAUGAAGACCUUAGGAAGUCUUUGAAUAAAUAAUGCCACAAUAAAUUAAAAAUAUGGUGCCAUCACUAUACAUAAUAAGAAAAAAACUACAAAUUGACUAUUUUGUCACUAGUUAGCUAGUUGACAACAGGGGUGGCCCUGAGCACGGGCCGAGAGGCGGUAGUCCAGGGCAUCAAUUUUAUUUUUUUUUACUACCUAAAUAUAUGUAUAUAUACUCCCAUAAAAAAAUGUUAAAUGCUAGUUGCUAAUGGAAUUAUAGGGGCACUAGGAACUCAAAACUAACAAAUGACGUGAUUAAAUGAAAUAUAGAAUAAAAUCAGUUCAUUACAUGUACCAAAAAAUAUUAAUUACAUUCAUAAUUUUAGCAACUAAAAGCAAAUGAAUAGUCAAAUUGAGGAACUAAAAUUUAAAUAAUGAUAUGGAAUGUUAUCAAUAAUAAAGAGUUAGAUUUUUUUGCCUUUUCAUAUUAACACUCUAAAGUCACAAUAAUUUAUCUAGUUUAUGAGUCUAUAUUCUUUCUAACUCUCAUCCUCUGUGUUUAAUUUAAUCUCUCCAUCUCAAUUUUUAAACAAAAAAUAUUUCUCCGCCUCAAUUUUCCUACUGUUAACACAAGAACAAAUAAAUGCCAAAAACAUAAGUGUGGUAUGUCAUUGAUCAUAACUUCAUAAAAUAUGAGUAGGUGCCAAUUGCAAUUACCAAACAAUUUAUUUAUUAUUCAAUAAUAGUCAUACACAUUUUCACUUUUCAUGAAUCAACAAGUUCAUUUAUUUAGAAGAUGUUAAUUUUAUGAUUUUCACUUUUCAGGAACAACAAGUUUGAUUUAGUGCUUGAAGACUUUUGGAACAAAUUGAUUAGAAUUUAAGUUGAAGUUAAAAAUCAGCAUCCAGGUACUAUUGUUUCAUCUCUUUGAUUGCUUGGAAUGUUGCCUAGAAAACCCUUGUCUGGUCAUCUAAAACGGGAAAGAAAGAAACAAAUUGAAAUUGAUGUUAAAUCUCAAAAGGAUGCUCUCCAUUUUUUUGGCAAAGAUUAUAGAAAGAGGUCUCUUUAUAAUACUUUAUGUUGUGAUGAUACAAACAUUUAAUUACGAUCCUUGUAUGUUGUUUUGAUAAACAUGUCUAUCUUAUAGCCAAUUGGUUCACAUUUCAAAGAUUCAUAUUUGUAUUUUUCUUGCAUAAUGUCAUAUGAAAUGUUUAAUAGUCUUUCCGUUCAUUUCUUUUAAUUUUAUCUAUUUUUAUGGAUUUUGUUUUUAUAGCGGCACCACUCUCUUGAUUCGCCCAAUAUCCAAAUUUAAAGGACUGGCCUUGAUUGACGACCAUUGACUUGAUUACAGAAAUAUACUAAGUAUAAAUUAAUUUUGUUUACCAAAAUCAUUCUAUUUUUUUUAUAGAUUCAAUUCACGGGAGAUUAUUCUUGUUUUUUUUAUUAUCAUUCUAUCAAUACGAAGUUUCCACCACCGGUGAUUAAUCUCUAUUGUAGAAUUUCUGGGACGCGUAUAAGUUGAGUUCUCCCAUUGCCGCUGGAUUUUUCUAUUCAUAAGAGCCUAUGAUCAAACCCUUGAUCACCUAGGUCAACAAUUGUUGGUUACUAACGAGUGUUACAAGACAUUAAAUAUGUGUAUCUAUCUUAACCAAAAUUUAAAUCGUUUAUCUAUCAUUCUUUAUUAAAUGGAUCAUAUAUAUAUAACUUCACUAUUCAAUUAUAAUACUCCAACUGUAUCGGAUCUGCAAAUUUUAUUUGUUUAUUAGUUUAUAGUUGUAAAAGUCUCCGUGCCAUAUACUAAAAUAGAUACCAAUUCUUUUAAAACUAUAAUCAAAUCAUCAUAAUAAAUUCAAUUAACCAAACAUAUGAAGGCCUAACUUACUAGAAAAUUCAAGAUUCUUUCAAAAAUAAGAAAAUCCAAGAUAUGAUCAAACAACAUUGUUAUACCCUGUUUUUGGACCUAAAAAUACUGGGCCCAAUUUCAUUUCAAACUUUGUCAAUUAUCAAAUUUCAACUGUACAGUUCAAAUUGUCUCUGCUACGCAGUGUUUUCAAUCACAACUUUACCUAUGUUUUUUUUCUUGCAUAAAACCUUUCGAAAUGUCUUUCCUUGUCUUGUAAGUCAUUCAAAAGUGUCUCUGAAUCAUUACAUUGCUUUUUCUACAGUUUAUUUCAAAAUUUGCAAAAAGUCNNNNNNNNNNNNNNNNNNNNNNNNNNNNNNNNNNNNNNNNNNNNNNNNNNNNNNNNNNNNNNNNNNNNNNNNNNNNNNNNNNNNNNNNNNNNNNNNNNNNAAAGGUUCAAGUCCAAUUAAUGGCUUGGCACCCAAAAACCAUGAUAACAAACAUCUUUUCACCAAGUGCUAAAAUUAUUUAGUUUUGAUAUUACAUUACGCUAUACAUAUAUAAGUGGUGUUCUAUGUUAACCGCUAAAUAUAAACUUUGAAGUUUUGACAUGAAUACGAUCGUGUUUUUUUAUUCCCAAUCUCAGAGAAAAGAUGUUCUUUUGUACGUGGGCUCGUUGAGAUCGUGCCCUCCUUAAAAGUCUGGGAUCUUGCGAAAUGCAUACCACUCCCUUCAUCACUCAUAGAUUGCGAGAACCGUAGGCCUUUUAUGCAUGUCAUCUCUUUUUGGGUCGUACCAACGUUGCAAUCUUCCUCACUCACCACUAAUUGCAACGCAAACUCUAAACCCCCAACCACUUGACUCAUUGAGGGUCGUUGAAUUCCAUCAUCAUGCAAACAACUUAACGCCAACUUGCAAAAAUAUUCAAAACACUCGCCCGUGAUGGAAUCUCUUAGGAAUGGAUCCACCAUUUGUUCAAUCGCCACACCUUCUUCGUAGCAUCUUUUGAACCAACAAACUAGACUAGCUGUAUUCUUAUCCAAAUCGCGAACCAAAGGUGGCCUAGCACACAACACCUCAAGAAGCACCACACCGAAUGAGUACACGUCUGAUUUAAGAGUAAGCCUUUGGAACAUAUAGUACUCAGGAUCUAAAUACCCCAAGCUUCCCUUAACAAUUGUGCUGACGUGGGUAGUCGAUAUACCUGUCGGUCCCACCUUUGAUAACCCAAAAUCAGAAACCUUAGCUAUCCAUUUCUCAUCCAACAAUAUGUUGGUGCUCUUUACGUCACGAUGUAUUAUCUUGUUUUUAACCUCAGUAUGAAGAUAAUUCAGCCCUCUAGCUGCACCCAAAAGAAUUUCAAGCCUCUGCUUCCAUGGUAGGGGUUGGUUAUUAGAACCAUAAAGAUACUCGCAGAGAGUACCGUGCUGCAUGAACUCAUAGACCAGAAUCAUCUCUGUCUUGUCGUUGCAAUAUCCCACAAGGGAUACCAAGUGAAUGUGGCGAAGCUGGGAGAGCAACUCGAUCUCGUUCAUGAACUCAUUUGCACCUUGUUGAGAGCCCGACCUGAGGCGUUUUAUCGCAACGGGUGUGGAUCCAUCAAUGAAACCUUUGUACACAUUCCCAAACCCCCCAACACCGAUAAUGUUUUCAUCAUCGAAGUUUUUUGUGGCUGCUCUGAUCUCUGCGAUUGUAAAGUAGCGGCACAAAUAGGAUGGUAAAGUUGACGAACCUUCAUUCUUUGUUUUCCAUAAACUUUCUAUCAUUUUAAUAGGAGAUUCAAAUCUCUUUGUCCUUCUAACUAGAACUAUUAUUCCCACAGCAAGAAAUGUGAGCAAGAGAGAUGAAACUCCAACUAUGACUACAGUUGACUUCUUGGACUUUUGUUUUUGAGAUGAUAGUAUAAUGUGUUUGUUGGGAUUCAAACCAGCGAGAUUGUUAUAUUUAUCACUAAUUUUGAAAAUCUCGAUUCCAUUAAGAAUAACAUCACGAUAUACUGUAGGCAUGGGUUGUGGUAAUCGUUGAAGCUUGAUUGAAAGAUAAACUCUUUCAAUUUGAGAGAUUAAUCCCUCCAUAGAAACAACAUAAUCCUUAUGAACAGGAACCAUACGAGCACCACUCCACCCUAUCACAUCCGCCUUUUCUUCAACCAAAGUGUUAUCUAUGAAUAUCUGAAAGACUCUAUCACCUUUAUAGUUGAUAUGCCAAUCAAACUCACAAAAAUGUAACCUUACCAUAUAAGUAAAAGCAGAAUCAACUUCAAAGUUCCAAGUUACAUUAUAAUCCUUUGUCUCAUACAUUCCGUAACUUCUUGCAGUUAAGUACACAACUUCUGGUGCAAUGUAAUUUGGAAUGACAUUGUUUUUAUAUGUUAGGUUAUGUGUAAAGUCACUUGAUACACUAGAUGGGUACUCUUUCUCCAAGUAAAGAGGAAAAUCAUUGCCCCAAUUGCGAAACAUACCUGUAUCAUCACUUGGUGGAACUUGAUUUUGACCAACGUUGACUCUAUAAACCAUCUCCAAAGCUUUGUCUUUAUGAAUUCGGUAUUCCGUGUACUCUGAGUCAACUGGUUUCAAAUAGUAAUUUGGGUCAUUGAGGUUUGUGUAAUAGAGAAAAGAAGGCAUUGACACAACUUCGAUCCCGUUAAUAAAAGCAUAACAAGGAUUUGAUUGGUUUAUGCUGUUAGGAAUGAAAGUUAUGUUUAACUUUUCAUUUGGUUUGAUUUGUAUGCAAUAUUCUUUGGUGAUUUUUUCGUCAUCAAAAUAGAGCCAAAGCAAAGGGUUGAAGUUUUUAAGAAGGGUAAGGUCGUUCACUUUGACAGAGAAAAUUGCACUGGAAGGUUCAAAGUUUUGAUAAGAUGUAGGGUAAAAAUGAAGACGAAGAAAAACAGUGGAAUUAGUGAUGCUAGAAAAUGAGUAUGUGAAAUUUGAGAGAGAAACACGUGCGUGUGUGUAUGGAACUUGGAUAUUUGAGAGGGAAUUAGCUUGUACAUUAAAAGAUGGGUUUGUGGUUUUUGGUUCAAUGAAAGUAAAGAGAUUUUUGUUAUUAAUAUUAUCACCAACCCAAAUUCGUUUAUCUAAGGCAGUAUUGUCGGUUAAGGAGCCACAAUUGAUGGCUAAAUUGUAAUCAGGGUUGUAUGAGUUAGCAACUAAAGGGAAAAGUAGCAAAAAGAGGGAUAGUAUGCUGAUUUUUGUGUAAAUGUUUUUGUUUAUGGAGUUUGCCAUAGCUGUGUGAGAAGAGAGUGAAGAAGAUACAUUAAUUUGAAUGGUACGUAGAAGUUGCAUUUAUUUAUUAUUAUUAGAUUAGAUACAUUGAGAGGUAGGAAAGGAAAUUCCCAUAAAACAACACUUGAGAGUGAUCAACAAAUCCAUUACUUUGAAAUGGUCAAAUGAUCUCCUUUGAGAUAGGAAAACAGAGUGGUGAUACAUGUACCACCCUACGUGACAAUACACCCUUUACAUCCAUACAAGAUUCUGACACGUGGUAACCUAGACCCCACACAAAUAGAAGAUAAAGUAUGGUUGUGAGAUGAACUUACCAAAAUAUCCAUAAUAUAUGGGGUGUACAAUUGAGUGUAUGAAUAAAAGGUGUUCAUGUAACAUUUUUCUAGGAAAACUUUCAUUUCUGUUUUAUAAUUCAAAACCAUACGAAAGAAUAUUUUUUAAUUUUUUUUAUAAGCAAAUAUAUAUUAUUAGGAUUGGAUAUUAGCAAAUAUAUAUUAUAAAGGAAAAGAAAGUGAUCCAGAAGUCCUAUCUAAAUUAUUUUGGUAUAGUGGAAUUGGAUUAGAAUUCUUAAGCAAAGUUUUGGAUUCGAACUUUAUGGAUGACGAAAAUGUAAUUGGAAUGAGAGACUCCAUUAAAGAUGAACAAUUCUUUCUAUAAAAAAAAAUGAUGGUCUAUUCUCACAAAGAUUUGUUAUUAGCCAAUGCGAUAGUUUAAUUUAAACAAAAUAACACGUGCUUGUGUUGGUGUAUUAUUUUUUAAGUCCAUGUUAUGGAUUAGAUGAAAAUUGUAAAUGAAAGAUAGAGAUAAAAAUAUAUGGUAUAAUGUAUCAUAUCCUAAAUUCGAAUUUCAAAUAAUUAAAUUGUAGCCAUCAAAUAGGGAAUUAUUUUCUAAAACGUAUUAGCAGAUAGGGAAAUCACUAAGAAACAACAUCAAUAGGCAGUGGCCACGAAAUUAGUCACAACUUUGAAAUCGUCAAACUUUCCUUUGAUAGGGAUUAGGGAGAUUUAAACGAAUGAGUGGUAGGAGUACACUUGAGCGUAGAAAAAUCUACUCAAAAAUAUGUUUCUAUUUGAGUAUGUGUUAUUCACACAAAAAGUAUGUGCAGAAGUUUAAUAUAGAAAAGGAAAAUUCAUUUUAAACGAAGAAAGUAAAUUAAACGGUUUGUAUAAUUCAACACGAAGGAGAGAAAGUGAUGUUAUAAUGGAGAACAAAUAAUAAACAGAUCUAGCUUUCUUUCUUACAACCAAAUAUAAUAUCCAACUAUGAAAAUUUGGAUCAACAGCGGAUAAGAAAACUUACACACAAGGUUUUGCAACUCGAGAGUUUACCUCAACUCGUUUUAACUAGGUAAACUCGACUCGUAAACUCGAAUCGUAAACUCGUACGAGUUUACCUAAAAUUGAAAUUUUAUACAAUUUAUUAUAUGCAUACAUAUGUAAGCUAAUAUAAUACUGUAAAAAGAUCAAUAGUGAAAAAUAUAGACUUAUAUAUGCAAAGUAAACCAAACCACCAUAAAAAAGUGGUAUGCUUAACUUAGUAUCAAAAUAGAAAAAUUAACACACAAAAGCAUAGGUUUCAUAAGUCUCUAAAGUCUACCCAUCCCAAAAAGAAAGUUUCACAAGUUUAUAAACUUGAGAAUAAAACUAUCCAAAAAACAAACUAGGUAAUUUCUUCGAAAGGUCAAUCUUCUAAAGUUCCAUAACAUCAUUCUCAUUUAUAUCUUCAUCUUAGGAAACCUAAUGUUUCAUUCACUCCCCUGUUCUUGAAAACUCAAAGAAAAUGAUAUGAAAUGUUUCACUUCAGUAAGUUGAAACGUGUUGUAAAGCUAGAAAGUAAAUAUGUUUUCAUUUGGGCUUGAAAAAAAUGGGCCAAAAACAAUGGGCCAUUUUUGAAGGAAAAAAAAUACAGGAGUAAACUCGUAAAAACGGUAAACUCGCCCGAUUUCACAUGAGUUUACUGAGUGUUAACUCGGUCAAACUCGUCAAAAUUUCCGAUUUUACCAGAAAUAGAGUUUACCUCCGAGUUAACACGUUUUUAGCACCUAAACACGUAAACUCGGUAAACUCGCCGAGUUGACACGCGAUUUGUGGAACAUUGCUCACACACCAAACAACAUUCCUCCAACCAUUGUUUUCUUCAUUCGGCGAGUGGUUCGAUAUCGGUAACUUGAUUGAAAGUGAUUCAAUGGUUCUGGUACAAAUAUUAGGGCACCUCUGGUGGAGGAUUUCCAACACUGAGUUUGCCAAGAUGGGAACUCAAAGAAGAUAUUAUGACUGGAGUUUCCAACACUGUUGUUUGAAUGAAAGUUACUUAUUAGGAAUUAAAUGAAAAAUAUUAAAGAGGCCAAUUAAUUUGCAAGAUUAUAGUUUCAGACCAAAUAUAAGUUCUUUAGAAUUCACCAUUAAAAAUGAGUGAUCUAGUUGUUUCAAGAUAUAAUAUGGCAAAAUAAGACCCCAAAAUAACAUUUGGUAGAAUUCACCACAUGAAAUGCUUUUAGAAUUUGGACUGAGCUGCCAAAAUCAAUUCGAAAAUGCGGUACAUUACCACUUAUAAACACAUGUUCAAAUCAUAUAUUAUCCAAUGCGGGACACUUGACACCUCUCUCAUUGUAUAUGAUCCUUUUAGUACUCCUUAGCCAAAAAAACAAUGAUACCCAUGACAAUGAAUUUUGAUAUUGGUCCUGCAAUAUUCCUAUCCACAUAAUAUAAUAAAUAAAUAUACACAAUAUGCUUUGCCUGCUAGAAGUCAUCUAUAUAAUAACAUGCAAUAGUGGGAUCAACGCGGAGACGAAGACUUGAUGAAGUCUUUGAAUAAAUAAUGCCACGAUAAAUUAAAAAUAUGGUGCCAUCACUACAUAAAAAGGAAAAAACUAUAAAUUGACUAUUUUGUCACUAGUUAACGACCAUUGACUUGAUUACAUAAAUAUACUAAGUAUAAAUUAAUUUUGUUUACAAAAAUCAUUCUAUUUUUAUUUUUUAUUUUUUUUAUAGAUUCAAUUCAUUAGAGAUUAUUCUUGUUUUUUUGUUGGUUAUCAUUUUAUCUGUACGAAGUUUCCACCACCGUGUAGCAGUGAUUAAUCUCUGUCGUAGAAUAUGUAUGACACAUAAGUUGAAUUCUCCCAUUGUAACUGGAUAUUUUCUAUUCAAAAGCACCGAUGAUCGACCUCUUGACCCCUUCGGCCAACCAUUAUUGGUCGCUAGAGAUAAUACUAUUCGAGUCGUACAAGACAUAAAAUAUAUGUAUCUCUCAAAGCCGAAGUUUAAAUCUUGGUUCGCUAUACUGUGAGAGUCUAAUCUCUUAUGAUAAACCCAUCCCACUCUAGUUGGUAAUCUAAUAAAUCUAAUAAAUUUAUUAAAUGGAUCAUAUAUAUUUAACUUCAAUAUUCCAUUAUAUUCCAACUGUAUUGGAUCUGCAAAUUUUAUUUGUUUAGUAGUUUAUAGUUGUAAAAGUCUCUCAUACCAUAUACUUAAAAAUAGAUACCAAUUCUUUUAAAACUAUAAUCAAAUCAUCAUAAUAAAUUCAAGGUUUAAUUACACUUUUGGUCCUCGUGUUUUGGCUUACUCACGAAACUGGUCCUGCUCUUUUGAAACAUAACAAAACGGUCAUUCAAUUAUCAUUUUUGUUGCAUUUUUCGUCCUACCCCCCAUUUUAUUCUCCAAAAAUGCAGAGAAAUGAUAGUUUUAGACCUGCCCCCUAUGCUCAACCAUGAAAUAAACAAGGAAAAAAACAUGUGGGUACAAAGAAUCGACUUUAUUCAACACACUAACAAAAAAAUCCUAAUUUCUAAGAUAUGUUACUAAUUAGGUUUUUUUUUUUUCCGAUAGUGUGCUGAAUAGAAUAGAUUUCUUGUGCCCACAUGUUUUAUUCCUUAUUGAUUUCAUGGUUGAGCAUAGAGGUAUGUCUAAAACCGCCUAAAACUGUCAUUUCUCUGCGUUUCUAGAGUUUGAAAAUAGGACGUAGGACGAAAUAUGCAACAAAAAUGAUAAUUGAAGGACCGUUUUGUUCUGUUUUAAAAGGACAGGACCAGUGUGAGUAGGCCAAAACACGAGGACCAAAAGUGUAAUUAAUUAAGCAAACAUAUGAAUGCCUAACUUACUAGAAAAUUCAAGAUAUGAUCAAACAACAUCUUUUCGCUAAGUACUGAAAUUAUUUAGUUUUGAUAUUACAUUACGCUAUACAUAUAUAAGGUGGUGUUCCAUAUUAACUGCUAAAUAUAAACUUUGAAGUUUUGACAUGAAUACGAUCGUCUUUUUUGAUUCCUAAUCUCAGAGAAAAGAUGUUCUUUUGUAAUUGACCUCGCUGAGAUUGUGCUCUCCUUAAAAGUCUGGGAUCUUGCGAAAUGCAUACCACUCCCUUCAUCACUCAUAGAUUGCGAGAACCGUAGGCCUUUUAUGCAUGUUAUCUCUUUUUGGGUCGUACAAACGUCGUAAUCUUCCUCACUCACCACCAAUUGCAACGCAAACUCUAAACCCCCAACCACUUGACUCAUUGAGGGUCGUUGAAUUCCAUCAUCAUGCAAACAACUUAACGCCAACUUGCAAUAAUAUUCUAAACACUCGCCCGUGAUGGAAUCUCUUAGGAAUGGAUCCACUAUUUGUUCAAUCGCCACACCUUCUUCGUAGCAUCUUUUGAACCAACAAACUAGACUAGCAGUAUUCUUAUCCAAAUUACGAACCAAAGGUGGCCUAGCACACAACACUUCAAGAAGUACCACACCGAACGAGUACACAUCUGAUUUUAGAGUUAGCCUUUGGAACAUAUAGUACUCAGGAUCUAAAUACCCAAGGCUUCCUUUCACCAUUGUGCUGAUGUGGGUAGUCGAUAUCCCUGUAGGUCCCACCUUGGAUAACCCGAAGUCGGAAACCUUAGCUAUCCAUUUUUCAUCCAACAAUAUGUUGGUGCUCUUCACGUCACGAUGUAUUAUUUUGUGCUUCACCUCAGCAUGAAGAUAAUUCAGCCCUCUUGCGGCACCUAAUAGAAUUUCAAGCCUCUGCCUCCAAGGUAGUGGCUCGUUAUUAGAACCAUAAAGAUACUCACAAAGAGUACCGUGCUGCAUGAACUCAUAAACCAAAAUCAUCUCUGUGUCAUCGUUGCAAUAUCCCACGAGGGACACCAAGUGAAUGUGGCGAAGCUGGGAGAGCAACUCGAUUUCAUUCAUGAACUCGUUGGCACCUUGUUGAGAGCCCGAUUUGAGGCGCUUAACCGCAACAAGUGUGGAUCCAUCAACACAACCUUUGUACACGUUGCCAAACCCUCCAACUCCGAUGAUAAAAGCAUCAUCGAAGUUGUUUGUAGCUGCUUUGAUCUCUGCGAUUGUAAAGGAGCGGCACAGAUGGGGCGGCAAAGACUCCCCGUUCUUUGUCUUCAAUAAAUUAUCUUCCAUGACAUUAUGACACCUUCUUAUUAUCCAAAAAACAGUGAUACCCAUGGAAAUUGCUAGCACAAGGCCAGAAACUGAAGUCACAACAACAAUAGCCACAAGUGGGGUGAUCUUAGUUAUUUUUGACGAUUGGGUUGAAACUGCAAUCGCGAGAUUGUUAUUUUUGUCACUUAUUUUUAAAAUCUCGAUUCCAUUCAAUAUGAAACCAUUGUAUUCUGUCAAUGGUUGAAGCUUGAUUGAAAGAUUAGCUCUUUCAAGUUGAGAGCUUCCUUCUUGAUAGUCCAUAGACAUUGCAUAAUCCUUAUGAACAGGAACCAAACGAGCACCACUCCACCCUAUCACAUCCGCCUUUUCUUCAACCAAAGUGUUAUCUAUGAAUAUCUGAAAGACUCUAUCACCUUUAUUUGUUAUAUCCGGAUCAAACUCACAAAAAUGUAACCUUACCAUAUAAGUAAAACCAGAAUCAACCUCAAAAUUCCAAGUUACAUUGAAAUCAUUUUCCCAACUACUAGACACACCAAAACCAUUUGAUACCAAUAAUUUCAUUUCUAAACUUCUUGCAGUUAAAUAAACAGCUUCUGGUGCAGUGUAAUUUGGAAUGGCAUUUUUUAAAUAGUUUAGAUGAUGUUCAUAAUCAUUUGAUACGCUUAGCGGAUAUUGUUUCUCCAAGUAACGAGGAUAAUCAUUGUCCCAAUUACGAAACAUACCUGUAUCUUGGUUUGGUGGAACUUGAAUUCGACCAACGUUGACUCUAUAAACCAUCUCCAAAGCUUUGUCAUUAAGAAUUUGGUAUGGUAUAUCUUCAGAGCCAUCUAACUUGAUACGAUAAUCUUGGUCACUGAGGUUUGUGUAAUAGAGAAAAGAAGGCAUAGACACAACUUCGAUUCCGUUAAUGAAAGCAUAACUAACAUUUGAUGUGGGAAUGAAAGUUAUGUUUAGCUUCUCAUUUGUUUUAAUUUGGAUGCAAUACUCUUUGAUGAUAUUAUUCUCAUCAUGAUGAAGCCAAAGUGAAGGGUUGAAGUUUUGAAGAAGGGUGAGAUUGUUGUUUACUUUGACAGAGAAAAGUGCAUUUGAGGGUUCAAAAUUUUGAUACGAUGCAGGGUAAAAAUAAAGGCGAAGAAAAACAGGGGAAACAGUGAUGCUAGAAAAUGAGUAUGUAAAAUUUGAGAAAGAGACACGUGCGUGUGUGUAUGGAACUGUGAAAUUUGGGGAUUUAAGUGAUGUUUUAGGAGAUGGAUUAGUGGUUUUUGGUUCAAUGAAAGUAAAGAGUUUUGUGUUAUCAUUAUUAUCACCAACCCAAAUUCGACUAUCUAAGGCAGUAGUGUUCGUUGAGGAGCCACAACUAAUGGCUAUAUUGUAAAUUGGAUUGUAUGAGGUAGCUAGUAGAGGGAACAGUAGCAAAAUGAGAGAAAGUAUGCUGAUUUUUGUGUAAUUUUUUUUGUUUAUGGUGUUUGCCAUAGUUGUGUGAGAAGAGAGUGAAGAAGAUACAUUAAUUUGAAUGGUACGUAGAAGUUGCAUUUAUUUAUUAUUAUUAGAUUUGAUACAUUUAGAGGUAGGAAGGGAAAUUUCCAUAAAACAACACUUGAGACUGAUCAUUGAAAUGGUCAAAUGAUCUCCUUGGGAAGCAAUUAGGAUCACGUAAUUGUGGAGAUAGGAAAACUCUCAUUUCUGUUUUAUAAUUCAAAACCAUACGGAAAAAUAUUUUUUAUUUUUUUUAUAAUCAAAUAUAUAUUAUUGGGAUUGGAUAUAAGCAAAUAUAUGUUAUAAAGGAAAAGAAAGUGAUCCAGAAGUCCUACUUAAAUUAUUUUGGUAUAGUGGAAUUGGAUAUAAGAUGCGAAUUUUCAAUUUUAUUUUAUUAUUUAAAAAAAAAUAUGUUUGGUUAACAUUACAAUAUUCUCAAGAACCUUUAAAUAGGGUGAUUAAUAGACAAGUUACACAUAAAUUUAUUCUCAUUUUUAUGAGAAUUUUAUUCUCACUCUUUCCGGUGGUAAAAAAUUUCUAUUCCAGGAACCUUUUAUACGCAGGAAUAAAAUUUUUGUAAAUUUAUUAAGAAACAGCACCAAUGACUGGCCACAAAAUUAGUUGCAAGUUUGAAAUCUUCAAACUUUCCUUUGGAUGAUAGGGAUAAUUUAAAACGAAUGAGUGGUAGGAGUUCACUUGCGACACUUGCGACAUUAGUCGCAAGGUUAAAUUUGAUUUUUUUUUUGAACAAAGUCGCAAGGUUAAUCAUUCACAGUCGCAAGGAAUAUAAUUUCUUGUUUUUUUGUUCUUUUUUCUUUCUUUGAUUCCCUUUUAUUUGUCUUUUCUCUAUAAUUUCUAGGUAUCCUUUAUUUAUCUCUAUUUGAGUAUGUGUAGGUUUUAUUCACACAAGAAAAGUAUGUGUAGAAAAGGAAAGAUGAAAUUUUAAACAAAAAAAGAAAAUUAAACGGUUUGUAUAAUUCAACACGAAGGAGAGAAAAGUGAUGUUAUAAUGAAGAUUUUAGGAUAAGUAAGAUCAAUGAAUUUUGAUAUUGGUCCUGCGAGGGUUUUUUUUUUUUAUUACUUAUUUUAAAAAUCAUUAUUCCAUUCAAUAUCACAUCAGCGUAUUUUGUGUAGAUAGCUUCUGUACUCGUUCAAGCUUGAUUUUUUAUUUUAUUUUUAAGGGAAACGUCCUUACAAUAUUUCAUUAAUAAUAAUAGUUUCAAUACAAGUUGGUAUAUCAUAAUAAACGGCGGGAUUAACUAAAGACGUGACCUCUCGUGCAAGAGCAUGAAUAACCGCGUUGGCUUGUCGCUUAACAAACUCCAUCCUAGAGUUAGAAAAUAAAUUGCGAAACAAAGAACGACAGGAAAAAAUAAUGCAACCAAAUUCAGACAAGUCGUUCCUGGUAGAAAGGAAUGCAUCAACUGUUAAUUUAGAGUAUGUUGCAAAGUCGAUGUUAUCAAUCAGCAUAUCACUCAGCCAUUGCAAAGCAGAGUGCAGCCCUAAAGCUUCUCCCACAUCCACCGAAACAGUACAAGGAUAUGUAAUAGUCUUGGCCAUAACAAAAAUACCUUCCGAGUCGCGAACACAAAUGCCAAUACCUAUGCGGUUAUGAUGAGAAGAAAAAGUUGCGUCGAUAUUACAUUUAUAUCUACCUGGCAUAUGAGGCUGCCACAAGAUCAUGUUGUGUUGGUGUGAGGUGGAGGCCCCCGUAUGCGCAACCAUAGCAUGCUGAGAAGCUGAAGUAGAUGCAAGGGUAUCCGGAGCAUUCGCCAAAUGCCAUAGCAUUGUCCAGAAUGGAACGUCCGGGAACAAACGUGGACUGAUUGUCAGAGAUGCACUGAGAUAAUACAUUCUUCAACCUGUUCGCUAGUACUUUAGAAACAAUUUUAUAUAGCACAUUGAACAGUGCUAUUGACCGCCAAUCUUUCAUGCUAACCUGCGUAGAACCUUUUGGAAUAAGGGCAAUGUUAGUAAUAUUUAAAUCAGGGGGAAACUGUCCCGUGUCUAGCCAACCACAACAUUCCUAAAAAUGUCAUCACUGCAUAAAUUCCAAAAGUAUUGGUAAAAACCCGGACUAUAGCCAUCAGGGCCGGAGUACUUGUCCGGAUGCAUAGAGAAAAUAGCAUCUCGAAACUCGGCCUUAGUAAAAGGUGUCGUGAGAAUAAUAUAAUCAUGAACAGAGAUAGACGGAUUAAUAACAUCUAUGACAGAAGAAAAAUCACUAUCCUGCUGUUGAAAAAUAUUCACAAAAUAAUUCUGCGCUACUUCUUGCAAACCUUGUUCACUAGUAACCUUAUUUCCUACAUCAUCAUCAAGAGAGGUUAUACGGUUUAACUUUUUCCGAGCUGUUGCCGAUGCAUGAAAAAACUUUGUAUUUCUAUCACCAUCCUUGUACAAGUGUGCUUUAGCACGUUGACGCCAAUAUAGGCAUCGUCUUAGGACAUCAGCCGUUGCAAGCGUUUCCUUAGCUCAAACAUGCGAGUUUGGUCCUCACCAGUAGCUUGCAGCCGCGUGUCUUGCAUUUCUUUGCAACAAUUGUCAAUAUCGCGCUUUAAAUUGUGGCAAUGAGUCUUUCUCCAGACGGACAUAUCCUUCCCGCAUGAUAUCAAUUUUGGAAUAAUCGUUGAAGCUUGAUUGAAAGAUUAACUCUUUCAAUUUGAUUCCUUCCUCCUUGAGAGUACAUAUGAACAAGCACAAUCCUUAUUGACAGGGAGCACCAGCCCAUGCAAUCACAUCAGCAUAAUGUUCAGCCAAAAUAUCAUCUAUAAACAUAUGAAAAACUGUAUCACCUGAAUUCUUUAUAUGUCAAUCAAACUCACAAAAGUAACCUUACCAUAUAAGUAAAACCAGAAUCAACUUCAAAAUAAGUUGAUGGACAGGAUAGAUAGAGUGAAAAAAGAGAAAACUUUGAAAACUAAUUCUUAAUACAUUUCUACUCAUUUCACCAUUACUAAUUUGACACAUUGCCUUUACUUUCUCAGUUUAUAUUGAGUGUAACUAAAUUUUUACUUGGAAGAAUUGGGAUUUGAACAUGAGAGUUUGAAGAGUAGCACAUUCAACUCUAAGAUUCCAAGGCAAUACCACCACACCUACCCAACUGCGUUUUCUCUUGGCUAAAAUUGAAUUUUAAAAUAUGAUUAAGGUUAACUCAAUCAACAUCACUAAAAUUGUAAUAGCUUACCUCCCCUCCCAUUAAAAAAGACCCAAUUUCGGGGAGCAAAUAUUGAGUUUGUGAGAGAUUUUGUGUCCCACUUAUUCCCUCUUCAAAAUUGAACCAACACAUAUGAUUAACAACAUUUCCUCCUCUCCUCUCCCCUCCAUCUACCCCGAACCAAAAUAGAAGUGUUGGAAAUAUAGAAUUAUCAUUAAAUAGUAAAUCAAAGAGAAAUAUUAGCAGGAAUAAAUUUAAUAUAAAUAAAAUAAAUAGAGUAUUGAAAACUUAUUGAUCUUAUGAACUAAGGCGUGCCAAUGCAUUGAGCUUAAGAGUUUUCGCUACCAAAUAUAAGUUACCCGAUGUUGUUGGUCUCAUAGCUAGUACUCUUCAGGAUACAACAGUCACUUCUUGCUAACACUGCACAUGAAUUAGCAAGGGAACUUAAGUGUUCUUAAUACACGAAAAAGAGACUUACAACAUUUCAUUAAUCAAAAUAUGUUCAAUACAAUUUGAUAUGUUAACUAAUUUCUGGAAACUAGCUGAUAAUGGGUCCGUCUUAGCAAACCUUUAUUUUUGAGGGGAAAGGACUUGUAACAUUUUUAAUCAAAAUAUGUUCAAUACAAUUUGGUUUGUUAACCAAUAUAUGAAAACUAAGUGAUAAUGGGACCGCCUAAGCUAACUCAUGGGCAACCGUAUUUGCUUGUUACUGCACAAAACCCACACUAGAGUUUUCAUAAUUUAAACUAAAGUGAGUUUUACAAUUUCACUACGAGAAAAAUUUAAAAUAGAGACGAGAGAUAUUUGUCUCUAAAUUGCAAAAUUUGUCACUAAGCUUGUUAGAGACGGAAUUGGAGAUGGAUCAAGUUCCGUUGUUAAUGUCGUCGUCACUAAGCUUGUUAGAUAUGGAUUUUAUAUUUCCGUCUUUGAUUGGAAUCGAAAAAAUUAUGUUUCCGAUUGAAGAUGGAAAAAAUUUCGUCUCUGACCGAAGAUGAAAUAAUUAUGUCGCUAACUAUAAAAAACCGUCGCUCAUUGAUGUUGCUAGAACGAAACAACUCCGUCUCUAAGGUAUAUAAUUGCGUUCUAUUGAGACGGACAUUUCUAAUAAUGUUUUUUUUUUUUUAAAUUAAAAAAAAAUCUGCCUCUGAAGAUUUCAGCGAGUUAUAACUUUUGCUGUUUGUUUGAUUUUGGCUUGGCUGAGAUGCUUAGACUUUAUUUUGUAAGACAACUAUAUUUUUUGCUUACCUGCAUUUCGAAUAUAUUUUGGUUUAUUUGUGUUAUGAAUAUGUCGAAUUCGUUAUGUUUAAUUGUUGAGGAGAAGUGCCACAUAUUAGGAAGCAUGUUAUGGCUAAUUGAAUGAAUAGCAUGUAUAUUUGAGAGGAGAGAGAUGGAUGAAAAGGAAGAGAGAUAAAGUGUUUGGGUGACAUAGAGUUGGGUGACAUUGGUCAAUCACAAUGCUACAAUGCUUGUGUUUCUCUCUCUCUUUCACAAGCAUCGUGACAUUGUGAUUGACCAAUGUCACCAAACUCUAUGUCACUCAAUUGCUGUCCGUAGGCCACACAUCACAUAUUUAUGUGGAGUUUUAAAUGUGUAUGCCACUUAUGAAUUUGCAUCUAUCACCACUCAUAUAAUAACAUGUAAUAGUGGGAUACAACGAGGAGACGAAGACUUUAUGAAGUCUUUGAAUAAAUAAUGCCAUAAUAAAUAAAAAAAUAUGGUGCCAUCACUAUACAUAAUAAGGCAAAAACCAUAAAUUGACUAUUUUGUCACUACUUAGCUAGUUGACGACCAUUGACUUGAUUACAUCCUCUCUUUUUAGAGGAAAUUUGACUACAUCAUCUUCUUAAUUUUAUUGGUUGGUUUUAAGUUACGGAUUGAGAGUCUCAAAUUAGAUGCAUGCCUAAUAUUGUUAUGUUUUUUCCUUUAUAAAACGUAUCAUUUACCUUACAACUUCGGAUCGAUAAAAGAUUGAAUUAACUCCAACUCAAAUUCUCAAAAUAUACUAGUAUGUAUAAAUUAAUUUUGUUUACAAAAAUCAUUCUAAUAUUUUUUUUAGAUUCCUUUCACAAGAGAUAGUUUGUUUUUUUUGUUAUCAUUUUAUCAAUACGAAAUUUCCACCGUCAUGUAGUAGUGAUUAAUCUCUUUCGGAGAAUAGGUGGAGCACAUAAGUUGGAUCUUCCAUUAUAAAUAGAUUUUUUUUAUACGUAAGAGUCGGGGAUCGAACACUUGAUCACUUCGGCCAAUCCAUUAUUGAUCACUAUAGAUAUUCUAUUCGAGCCGUAGACACUAAAUAUGUGUUUUCAAAUUCAAGAAAGAAAGAAAAAAACUAAUGGAAAAAAAAAAAAACCAAAACGCGCAACCGAGAAAACAAACGGCAGAAUAAACAAAGGGUAAAAUUUGCUUCAAAAUUGCGGGGGAUUUAAACUGUCGUGGAAUGAUGACCUUACCAAAGAGGAGUGUCACUUUUUAAACCAAUUUGAGGGAGUUUUAUGAAACCUCUUCAAAAUAACCGCCGCUAUGAAGCACGUUUUUAGUAGUAUUCUCACUAGAAAUUUAAAUCUUGGUUCGCUAUAUUGUGAGUCUAAUCUCUUCUGCUAAAUCCAAUCUAGUUGGUAAUCUAACGCUACUAAUAAAUUUAUGGGUUAAUAGUGUUUUUCACCCCUGUAAUAUAGGCCAUUUCCGGUUUUCGCCCUUAUAAAAUUUUCGGUUUGAUUUCUGUCCUUGUAAAUUUUUUUUUUUUUUUCCGGAAUAUCCCCCUCCUCCCUCCAACUCAGCAAAUCAGCCUAUGUGGCGCUGACAAGGAAUUUUUUUUUUCACUUGCCACGUGUAUAAUUCGUUUUUUUUUUAAAAAAAUUGUGAAAUUUUAAUUUCGUUUUUUAAUUUUAAUUUUAAAAAACUCAAUUUUUGUUUUAAUUGUUUUAUUUUUUAAAAUAUUUGAAAAUUAAUUUUCAAAAAUAAAAAAAAAAUAUUCGGAUUUUUUUCCAAAAAUUUAGAAAUAUUAAAAAAAUAUUAAAAAUAUGAUUUUUUAGAAUUUUUUAAAAUUUUAGAAAAUGAUUUUUUUUAAAUUUUAAUUUCAAAAAUGAUUUUAUAAAAAUCUAGAAUAAAAUCUGAAUUUUUAAAAAAAAUUGUAUCCAGAUUAAUAAAAAAAAUAUAUUUUCCAUAAAAAAAAAAAAUGACUUUUUUAAAAAAAUUUCGAAUUUGUUUCUUCUAAUUUAACUUUUUUUUUUAUUUUGAAAAUUAAAUUCCAGAAUCUUUAAAAAAAAAUCGAAUAUUUUUUCUGAUUUUUUUAAUAUUCGAAUUUAAAAUAAAACCGAAAAAUUCAAAAAAAAUCUUAUCGUUUUUUCUGAUUUUUUUAAUAUUUGAAUUUUUUCUUUUUCGAUUUUUAAAUUUUUUGGAAAAAAAUCUGAAUAUUUUUUUUAUUUUUGAAAAUUAAUUUUCAAAUAUUUUAAAAAAUAAAAUCUGAUGUAGAUAAUUAAAAAAAAAAUUAGUUUUUUAAAAUUAAAAUUAAAAAACGAAAUUAAAAUUUCACAAUUUAAAAAAAAAAACGAAUUAUACACGUGGCAAGUGAAAAAAAAAGAAAAAUAAAUUCCAUGUCAGCGCCACAUAGGCUGAUUUGCUGAGUUGGAGGGAGUAGGGGGGUAUUCCGGAAAUUUUUUUUUUUUACAAGGACAGAAAUCAAAUCGAAAAUUUUAUAAGGGCGAAAACCGGAAAUAGCCUAUAUUACAGGGGUGAAAAACACUAUUAACCCUAAAUUUAUUAAAUGGAUCAUAUAUUUAACUUCAAUAUUCAAUUAUACUCCAACUGUAUUGGAUCUGCAAAUUUUAUCUGACUAUUAGUUUAUAGUUGUGAAAGUCUCUCAUACCAUAUGCUAAAAAAUUAGACAUCAAUUCUUUUAAAACUUUAAUAAAAUCAUAAUCAUCAGUUCAAUUAAUCAAACAUAUGAAGGCCUUACUUACUAGAAAAUUCAAGACAUGAUCAAACAACAUCUUUUUGCUAAGUGCUAAAAUUAUUUAGUUUUGAUAUUACAUGUUUACGCUAUACAUAUAUAAAGUGUUGUUCCAUAUUAAUUGCUAAAUGUAAACUUUGAGGUUUUGACAUGAAUAUGAUCGUGGUCUUGGAUUCACAAUAUUCGAGAAAAAAUGUUCUUGAGUACUUGCCCUCGCUGAGGCUGUGCUCUCCUUGUAGGUGUGGGAUCUUUCGAAAUGUUGGUCACACUCUUGAUCACUCAUAAACUGCGAGAAUUGUUGGCUACCUUCUUCACUCACCUCCAUUUGCAACGCAUACUCCAAACCUAUAACAACUUGACUCAUUGAUGGACGUUGAGUCCCAUCAUCAUGCACACAACUCAACGCCAGCUUGCAAUAAUAUUUCAAGCACUCCUCUGUGAUAGAACCCCUUAGGAAUGGAUCCACUAUUUGUUCAAUUGCCACACCUUCAUCGUAGCAUUUUUUAAACCAACAAACUAGACUUGCUGUAUUCUUAUCCAAAUCACGAACCAAAGGUGGUCUAGCACACAACACCUCAAGAAGCACCACACCGAAUGAGUACACAUCAGAUUUUAGAGUUAGCCUUUGGAGCAUAUAAUAUUCUGGAUCCAAAUACCCUAGGCUACCCUUCACCAUCGUGCUAACAUGGGUUGUAGACAUCCUUGUCGGUCCCACUUUCGAUAAUCCAAAAUCAGAAACCUUAGCCACCCAUUUCUCAUCCAACAAUAUGUUGGUGCUCUUCACGUCACGGUGUAUUAUCUUGUGUUUCACCUCUGCAUGAAGAUAAUUCAGCCCUCUCGCGGAACCCAAUAGAAUCUCAAGCCUCUUCUUCCACGGUAAGGGCUGGUUAUUAGAACCAUAAAGAUACUCACACAGAGUACCGUGUUGCAUGAACUCAUAAACCAAAAUCAUUUCUGUGUCAUCAUUGCAAUAUCCCACGAGGGAUACCAAGUGAAUGUGGCGAAGCUGGGAGAGUAACUCGAUCUCAUUCAUGAACUCGUUGGCACCUUGUUGAGAGCCAGAUUUGAGGCGUUUUAUCGCAACAGGCAUGGAUCCAUCGAUGCAACCUUUGUACACGUUGCCAAAUCCUCCAACACCGAUGAUGAAAACAUCAUCGAAGUUAUUUGUGGCUGCUUUGAUCUCUGCGAUUGUGAAGGAGCGACACAAAUGUGGUGGCAAAGAUGACGACCCUUUGUUCUUUGUCUUUGAUGAGCUAUCUUUCAUGACAAUAUGAAGCUUUUUCCUUAGCCAAAAAAAUGUGUUGCCUACGAUCAUUGCUAGCAAGAGGCUGGAAACUACAAUCGUCGCAACAAUCGCUAUGGUGAUCUUAAUUUUUUUUGGUGAUUGGGUUGAAAAUUCCUGAUCAAUGGAUUUUGUUAUUGAUCCUGCGAGAUUGUCGUUGUAGUCACUUUCUUUUAAAAUCUGGAUUCCAUUCAAUAUGACAUCGCGGUAUUUUGUGUGGUUAGUUGCUCUCUGUAGCUUGAUUGUAAGAUUAACUCUUUCAAUUUGAGUGCUUCCUUCUUCAGAGUGCAUAGUCACAACAUAAUCCUUAUGAACAGGAAUCAAACGAGCAUUGCUCCAUGAAAUCACAUCAGCAUUUGGUUCAGCCAAGAAAUCAUGUAUAAAUAUCUGGAAAACUCUAUCACCUUUAUCCUUGAUACGCCAAUCAAAUUCACAAAAAUGUAACCUGACCAUAUAAGUAAAUGUUGAGUCAACUUCGAAAUUCCAAGUUACAUUGUAAUCCUCUGUGACAUUCAUUCCAUAACUUCUCGCAGUUAGGUAUACAGCUUCUGGUGCGAUGUAAUUUGGAAUUGUAUUGUUUUUAUAGUUGAGAUGAUUUACAAAAUCACUUGAUACACUUAGUGGAUAUUGUUUCUCUAAGUAACGAGGAUAAUCGUUAUCCCAAUUACGAAACAAACCAGUAUCUAGGUUUGGUGGAACUUGAUUUUCACCAACGUUGACACUAUAAACUGUCUCCAGAGCUUUGUUGUCUGAGUCAAGUGAUUUGAAGUCAUAAUUUGGGGCAUUGAGGUUUGAGUAAUAGAGAAAAGAAGGCAUAGACACAACUUCAAUUCCAUUAAUGAAAGCAUAAUAAGGAUUUGAAUGGUUUGUGUUGUUGGGAAUGAAAGUUAUGUUUAGCUUCUUAUUCGGUUGGACUUGGAUGCAAUAUUCUUUGGUGAUUGUUUCCCCAUCAUCAUGAAUCCAAAGUGAAGGAUUGAAGUUUUUAAGAAGUGUAAGUUUGUUGUUUACUUCAACAGAGAAAAGUGCAUUUGAGGGUUCAAAUUUUUGAUACGAAGUAGGGUAAAAAUGAAGGCGGUUAAAAACAGGGGAAGUAGUGAUGUUAGAAAAUGAGUAUGUGAAAUAUGAGAGAGAGAUACGUGCGGUUGUGAAUGGAAUUUGAGUAUUUGAGAGGGAACUACGUGGUGUUGUAAGAGAUGGGUUCGUGGUUUUUGGUUCAAUGAAAGUAAAGAUAUUUUUGUUAUCAAUAUUCUCACCAAUCCAAAUUCGUUUAUCUAAGGUAGUAGUGUCUGUUAGGGAGCCACAAUCGAUAGCUAAAUUGUAAUCAGGGUUGUAUGAGUAAGCAAUUAGAGGGAACAAUAGCAAAAAGAGAGAUAGUAUGCUCAUUUUUGUGUAAAUGUUUUUGUUUAUGGAGUUUGCCAUAUCUGUGUGAGAAGAGUGUGAAGAAAAUAGAUCAAUUUGAAUGGUACGUAGAAGUUGCUUUAUUUAUUAUUAUCUUAUACAUUGAGUAGGAAGGGAAAUUUCCAUAAAACAGCACUUGAGACUGAUCAUUGAAAUGGUCAAAUGAUUUCCUUGGGGAGCAAUUAGGAUCACAUAAUUGUGGAUAGGAAAACACUCAUUUCUUUUUAUCAAUUGAAAACCAUAGGAAGGAAAUAAUAAUACUAAUGCACUUCAUUUUUUUUUACAAUAUUGGAGUGACAUAUUUAUUUAUUUCACAGUUCACACAUAUUUAGAAAAACUAUGACUAAAAGAAAAAUUAUAAUUUUAUCAAACUAAACAUUUUUUUUUGUAAGUAACAUGGUGGCUGAAGUUCACAUUUUUAAAUGUUGAUGUACAGGUUCAAACUCAAGCCCUUACAUAUAUAUAUAUGGGUUUGCUAGAACACACCCACUAGUUUUUAUGUGGGAGUGUUUUAGCAAAGCUACACCUUAAGAUGUAUUUAACCACUUUUUAGUUAUUCACUUGCUAAAAUACUCCUUCUAAAAACUAAGUGGGUGUAUUUUAGCAAAUGCUUAUAGGAUUUGCUAGAACACACCCACUUGCUUUUUCUAGAAGGUGUGUUACUUAUAGCAACAUACACCUUAAGGUGUAUUUAUUAACUUUUUAGUUAUAACUUGCUAAAACACUCCCACAUAAAAAUUAGUGGGUGUGUUCUAGCAAAUCCCAUAUAUAUAUAUAUAUAUAUAUAUAUAUAUAUAUAUAUAUAUAUAUAUAUAUAUAUAUUAACACUCAAAUCAAACCCAAAAUAUGCAAACAUGCUAAACAGAAAAUAUAUUAGCCAUGAAAAGCUUUACAAACCUAAAAGUGCAAAGCCAUAAAGGAUGUGCCAAAAUACAGUAAUAAAAAGGUCUCAAGAUAUUUGCAACAACAAACUGAUUAGUUUUAGAAUGACCGUCUUUCUUCAUUUGAUUCAUAAGUGUUACCUUCCUUCUCUUUCAUUUGAAGUAAUUCAUACCGUCUCUUGUGAGUUUAUAAUCUAACCUUGUCUGCAUCUGCACCUGCAUAAGCUUUCUCCCAGCUUUCCCAUGCUUCAUUUGCAGAUUAAGCAUCACUAACUCUUUUCAAAAUGAGCAGUGCUAUUUCAGCAAUGGAUGAUAGUAGUAGUCAAUCAGUGCAAUUCACAGUCCAUUCUCGAUACAAUCUCUCGCGAUAUUUAGCAUUAGUCUUUCAAAAUUUGCAGGAUCAACAUAUUGGUGAAUGAUGAAUAAAUCCUAUUUAAGAGGACAUCAACUUAUUUGUAAUAAAUAACACGGUGUCACCUAUUUAACACGGUUAACAUUGCAUGAUCAAAUUAUAAAGGAUCAUGUUAGCAACUAGCAAGUGUUUUGACUUUUGAGGGUAUUGUAGAAGGAAUGGUCACUAUUAUAAAUAAAUUUUGACUUUUUAGAUUUAUUUAAUAAAUGAUGUAAAAAAUUGCUUAUAAACUAAAUACAUCAUUUAUUAAAUAAAUCUAAGAAGUUAAAAAAAUAUUUGUUUUGGAAAUACAAGUUAAAGUAGUCUCGAAGUAAUAAUUACAUCUUUUUCUAUGCAAAAGUUACUUUUUUUUUUAGGGAAAAAAGUUACUUUUUUAGGUUGUUUAAACAAUGAAAAUCAACUAGACUCUUGACCCGUGCUGCCAUCCAAAUAGAAGUUAAACGAAUAAUUCGCAACAAUUUAAACAUAUAUAGUUAGCAACAUCAAUCUAUAAGUUAUAUCAUUUUCAUGAUUUUCUUUGCUUUACAACAUCUGUUUUUUAAAAACAAACUCAACCUAUAAUUCCUCUGAAAAUUUUAAUUUAACAAUAUCAACUUAUAAUAACUUCUAUUAGUUUCAGGAUUUUGAAUGCUCACCAACAUUUGUUUGUCUAAUAACAAACGAAACCUAUAAUUCCUAUGGAAAUUUUAAUUUAACAGUAUCAACCUAUAAUUUCUAUUAGUUUGACGAUUUUGAAUGUUGGAACUACAUCUGUUUUUCUAAUAACAAACUAAACCUAUAAUUUCUCAGUUGCAAAACUAGCUUGCUCAAAAAAUGGAGCGCCCCUUAAGAAAUAGUAACCUAUCACUUAGAAUACGUAUUAUGUGUUGUAGAGCAUACCUAGUCUGGGUGGUACUGACAUAAUACGUGCGCCAUUUUAGUUUCAACAACAUCAUAUAUGCCGGGUCUUAAACGUGAUAUUCCCUCAAUGCAACAUCUGCAGAAGAAUGGUUUCAAUAAAAUUGUGAAAAAUUGCUGUCAACAAAUUAUAACACAAACACAUAUAAAAAAUGCACUUACCUCUGCAUGAGUAAAGAGCGAAAUCAGUAAGAUUUUUCGUAGACUUAAGAUCUAACAUUCUUGAUUGACAGUUUGGCUACUGUAUUUUUUGUUGAUAUGAAAAUCUGCCACUAAGGUAGAAGAAAAAGGGUUUUUUCUAGAUUACCCUCUCUUAUUUAGAGGGUAUUUUACAUGAUAUCAACCAAUCAAAAUGUAAUAUACAUUGAUAACAUUAAAUGUCAUAAAUGAGUCAAUUCUUUUCUAAAAAAAGAAUCAAUUAUAAUCAUAAGGUAACUUUUAAUACUUUUAAUUUUUAUUUAAUUAUAGAAAUGAUUACAUUAGAGAUCUUUUAUCUUAUUUAUUUGUUACACUUGGGUCCUUUAUCUUUAUUUUUUUUCACUUAGGUCUUUUAUCUCUUAUAAAAGCACAUAUACAUCAUUUUUCUCAUUUUUUUAUUAAAAAAAAAUACAUAAUUUUAUUUUUUAAAAUAUCUUUUUAUUAAAAAUGAAACAAAUCCAGAAAUAUGAUGAAGAUGUUCAUCAUCUUCAUCUUCCUCCUUUGAAUCUUCAUUGAAUCAAAAAAAUUUAUACACAAAUAUAUCUCCAAAUAUCAUGAAUUAAUGUUAUAUUCACCUCAAAUUUUCUUUUAAACACAAAAAUCAAACCCCUAUAGAGAAAGAGAUUUAGUUUCAUCACAAAAAAAAAAAUAGUUAUAUAAAUUGUCAAAGCUGUAUAUUAUUAUUAUUAUUAUUAUUAUUAUUAUUAUUAUUAUUAUUAUUAUUAUUAUUAUUAUUAUUAUUUUCUAACUCAAUAUUCAAGCCCGACAUAAAAAUAACCUCAAAAUUGAUAGCAGCUUUGCACAUCAAUUUUGUUGUUUCCAGAACAAUCUUAACUUUCGUAAAGCCUAACCCUUCCGCCAGUGACUAAGCCUCCACCAUCCGCCUUGCAACAUUUGUGAAAUUAAGGUUUUGAUUUUUGUGUUUAAAAUAAGAUUUUAGGUGAAUAUAACAUUAAUUCACGAUAUUUGAAGAUAUAUUUUAGUAGAUUUUUUUAUUUUAUUUAAAGAAGAUGAUGAAGAUUCAAAGGAAGAACAUCUUCAUCAUAUUUUUGGAUUUUUUUUCAGUUUUAAUAAAAAUAUAUUUUUAAAAAUAAAAUUAUGUAUUUUUUAAUAAAAAAAAAAGCGAAAAAAGACGUAUAUGUGCUUUUAAGAGAGAUAAAGGACCUAAACGGGAAAAAAAUAAAGACAAAGGACCAAAGUGUUACAAAUAAAUAAGAUAAAGGACCCAUAAUGUAAUAUUGCCUUAAUUAUAUUUAGGUGUUCAAUCUUAAUUAAUUUACACUACAUGACUGACUUAGAACAAUUAAAAUUUCACAUGAAUAUAUAGAACCUCUUAAAUAGCAAUGACCAUUCACUUCUUGAAGCAAUAAAUCCUCUUCAUUGGAGAGGAGAGAUAAAUUGCAUUAAUGUUAAUUGCAUAGAUGAAGGUUGUACCGUUAAUAUACAUGGAAUGUUAUGAGAUCUACGGUUGAAAUGUAGAGGGUGGUUAAACCAUGCCUAGAUACCCAAAGACCGGUUAACUGAGCUAAUUAACAUUAUGAGAUCUACGGCUGAAAUGAAGGAAGUGGUUCACUGAGUUGAUUAACAUUAAUUACGUAAUUACGUAAGAGAAAAUGUGUAUGAUUAACAUUGUUAUCAAUUGUCAUUAUGAAGUUUCUGUAUGAGAGAGAAAGUGAGGAGUUUGAAAAUAGAGUUUGAAUCAACGGCUUUGAUUAAGUGUAUGGUUGUGAGAUUAGAUUAGCUCUAAUUACAUGCUUAGGAGAGAAAAAUGCAAGGGAUUAGGGCAAACAUGCUAGCUCAUCAAGUCUAGCUUUUAUAAUAAAAGAUUAAGUGUAAGCAAUUAUGUCCCACAUCGAUUAGAAAUGUAACAAUUAAAACCAUAAACUCAUUGUCUUAGGAUUUUGAGUAACAAUGUGUUGUUUCUCUUAGUGAGCCCUACACGUUUAGCCCAUUUCCGCUCCCUAGUCUCCCGAACAACCUUAAAUGCUUUUGAAUAUUAAAUAAAAAAUUCAAUUUUCUUUUUAUAAAGUUUGAUGUUUUUAUUAGAUUACAUCUUAACAUAAUUAAAACUAUCAUUUUCACCAACAAUGGAUUGGUGCAAGUGGGGAGUGACUUAGACACCUUAAACAUGUGACUGGGGUUAGAUUCCUGACUCAUAUGUAUGAAAAAAUUUGGUUAGGAGAACCCACCUUGAAUGUCCCACAAGGUUGUUGACGAAGAUUAAUCACAACACUACGGUGGAAACUUCGUACCCAUAUCAGGAUAUCCCCUAAAAAAAUAAUAUUAUUUUCAAGUAAAUUAUUUUCAAACUUUGAAAUUCAAUUUGUUAUAUACUUAUUAGUUGAACGCCAAAUUGUAGGUUCACCAUAGGCCCAAUGAAUAUAAAAAACGGACAUGAUGGCAGUUGUCACACAAAUUUUUGUUAAAUCAGAGAGUCUAUGGUUGAAAAUCGAGAACUAUAAUUUAUAAGAGAAAACAUAUGUAGAUAAGAUUUUUAAUUCUUUUCUGUACGGAAGAAGAAAAUAUAAAAGUUGAUGUAUUUAUAGAAAAAAUAUAUAAUUAGGUCCUACGAAUAUAGGACUAAAUUUAAUUUUUUUAACCAGCCAUUUUUAAUCCACAUAAUAGAUGAAGACUUGCUAGAAGUCACCUAGUGUAUAAAUAACAUGCAAUAGUGGGAUACCACGGGGAGAAAAAGACUUGACAAAGUCUAUGAAUAAAUUAUGCCACAAUAAUUAAAAAUAAUAAUAAUGUUAUUACAUAAUAAGGAAAAUACUACAAAUUGAUUGUUUUGUCACUAGUAAGCUGGUUAACGACCAUUGACUUGAUUGCAUCGUCUUCUACUCAACUCUUCUUAUUGGAUGGAUUUAAGUUAUGGAUCUUUAAUUGAUCAUGUAGAAGUUGAAUCGCGUUCAAAACAAAUUUCUAAAAUAAAUAAUUUUUUCAUAAUAAUCACUUAUGAUAAAUAUAUGUAAAAAAGUACUUAGUGCUCUCUAAUAUAACACUUCUAUCUUAGCAAAUUAUAAAUGUACCAUAUCAUCAAUUUUACUCCAACUUGAUCCUGCAAACUUUAUAGCUGUUAAUUAGUUUAUAUGGUGAAGAGUCUAUCAUGCCAUAAUCUGGAAAAGAUAAAUAUCGUUUUAUUAAAAAUUUAAUUAAGUCUUAAUGAUAAGUUCAAAUAAUCAAACAUAGGAAGGUUUACCUUGAAAUAGUAUUAAGAUAUGAUCAAACGAUAUCUUUUAUGUAGAGCUAAAAUAAUUUAGUUUUUGCUUUAUAUAUGUUUACACUGUACUUACAUAUAUAGAGGGGGUGUUCCAUGUAACUGCUACAUAUAAGUUUUGAAGUUUUGGCAUGAAUACAACCGUGUUCUUUGAUUCCCAAUCUCAAAGAAAGGUUGUUCUUGAGUACUUGGCCUCGCUGAGAUUGUACUCUCCUUGUAGGUGUGGGAUCUCGUGAAAUACAAGCCACUCCAUUCAUCACUCAUAUAUGUCCUCUAUUUUUGGGUCGUACCAAAUUGACUAUCUCCCUCACUCACCACCAAUUGCAACACAAACUCUAAACCCCCAACCACUUGACUCAUUGAAGGUCGUUGAGUCCCAUCAUCAUGCAAACAACUUAACGCCAACUUGCAAUAAUAUUCCAAACACUCAUCCGUGAUAGAAUCUUUUAGGGAUGGAUCCACUAUUUGUUCAAUCGCCACACCUUCAUCAUAGCAUCUUUUAAACCAACAAACUAGACUAGUUGUAUUCUUAUCCAAAUCGCGAACCAAUGGUGGCCUAGCACACAACACCUCAAGAAGCACCACACCGAACGAGUACACUUCAGAUUUUAGAGUUAACCUUUGGAGCAUAUAGUAUUGGGGAUCCAAAUACCCAAGGCUCCCCUUCACCAUUGUGCUGACGUGAUGAGUAGUCGAUAUCCCUGUCGGUCCCACCUUGGAUAACCCGAAGUCGGAAACCUUAGCUACCCAUUUGUGAUCCAACAAUAUGUUGGUGCUCUUUACGUCGCGGUGUAUUAUUUUGUGUUUCACCUCAGCAUGAAGAUAAUGCAACCCUCUUGCUGAACCCAAUAGGAUCUCAAGCCUUUGCCUCCAAGGUAGGGGCUGGUUAUUAGAACCAUAAAGAUGCUCGCAGAGAGUACCGCGCUGCAUGAAUUCAUAAACCAGAAUCAUCUAUGUGUUGUCAUUACAAUAUCCCAUGAGGGACACCAAAUGAAUGUGGCGAAGCUGGGAGAGCAACUCGAUUUCGUUCAUGAACUCGUUGACACCUUGUUGAGAGCCCGAUUUGAGGCGUUUAAUCGCAACAAGUGUUGAUCCAUCAACACAACCUUUGUACACGUUGCCAAACCCUCCAACUCCAAUGAUGAAAUCAUCAUCAAAGUUUUUUGUGGCUGCUCUGAUCUCUGCAAUUGUAAAGUAGCGGCACAAAUGGGGCGGCAAAGAUGAUAACCUAGUGUUCUUUGUCUUCGACAAGUUAUCUACCGUGGUACUGUGAAACAUUAUCCUUAGCCAAAUUAUUGUGAUACCCGCGACGAUUACUAGCACGAGGCCUGAAAUUUCCAUCACAGCAGUGAUCUUAACUUUUUUUGACGACUGGGUUGUAAAAAUUUGAUGCGGGUGAGAUAGAUAAAUGGAUUUUGAUAAUGCUCUUGUGAGAUUUUGAUUUUCGUCACUUAUAUUUAAAAUCUCAAUUCCAUUCAAUAUGACACCACUGUAUUUUGAUAAUGGUUGAAGCUUGAUUGAAAGAUCAACUCUUUCAAUUUGAGAGUGUGCUCGUGAUUUUCGGAUAUCAAACCAUUAAUUGAUUUGAAUCGUCUGUGAACUCUCGAUUUUAUUCGUGGGAAGGGAAAAAAUGAGUAAAAACCCUUAUCGAGACUUUGGAUUCGGGGGUUGGUUACGCGAAGGGAAGGUGCUAGCACCCUAAGCGUCUACGGUAUUCCGUAGGAACCUCUUACCUAAAUUAUCUUGUGCUAAAUUCAUUGCUUAUUUGAAAAUUAUUACCUAAAAGUCUAAGUGAAAGAAUGGAGGGAGAAGAAGUAUGUUUUUUGUUAUUUUUAUUUGAUUUGGAAGGAUAAAAAUUCUAUGCCUACAUACCCUUAAAGAAAAGGGAUCAAAACCAAUGUAGUUCACCUAAAAAAUUUCUUUUUGGUGGGUUGGAUUAAUUUUAACAAUUUUGUAAAAAAAAAGGUUUUAAGAAGAGAUUAGAGGCCUCAAGGCAUAAGAGAAAAAUAAAGUGAGGUUGGUCAAAUUUUAAUUACAAGAAAUCAAGUCUAUUAUGAAUGUUAAUUCAAUUAAGCAUUUGAUUAAGAAAAUAAAAGGAAAAACACUUGGGUUACAAACCAAGGUUUAUUUAAGAAAAUAUUUUUGGAGUUUUGCAUAUUUGAUCUUUUUUGGGAAAAUGAUUUUUUCUAAACUAACGUUAAAAACUAACGUAACGGAGCAAAAAUAAAAUAAGCGGUAAAUAAAGCGGCAUAGUGUCGGUGCGUGUGUUACUAAACUAUUACAUACCCUCCUAGAUACACUCUAUGGUCUCAAGAGAAAUAUAAUAAGAAAUAAAAAAAAUGCGCAAAAUAAAUUACAUCAAUUUCCUAUUUAUACACACUAAAAAAAUUAAUGACAAUAAAAUGACAAGAAAUUAAAAUAUGCAUGAGAUGAUUAUAAAUAAAAAUGGCAAUUAUAAAAUAAAAAACAGUAAAUAAAAAUUAAAACAAACACAAUAUUUUUGUAAGUUCUUUAGAUAAUUUUCUUUUAGCAGAGAUGCAGAAAGUAAAAACAGAAGUGUAAUUAAUAAAACUGUAGUGAAAUUUAAAAACAAUUGGGCUCAGACUGGACAGAUCUAAACAAUUUUCUUUAGAUAAUUUUAAAAUACCUCUCUGCCAAAUUUUCACUGAAUCAUGAGAUCGACCAGAGUCAAACGACGCGCGUCCGUGGAAUCCUUGGUCAAAAUUUAGGGUAUGAUAGCUUCCAUUUUGAGAGUACAUAGUCACACCAUAAUCCUUAUGAACAGGAACCAUACGACCAUUACUCCACCUUAUCACAUCGGCUAAUUCUUCAACUAAAUUAUCAUCUAUAAAAAUCUGAAACAUUCUAUCACCUUUAUUUAUGAUAUUCGGAUCAAACUCACAAAAAUGUAACCUUACCAUGUAUGUAAAAGAAGAAUCAACCUCAAAAUUCCAAGUUACAUUAUAAUCCUCUGUCACAUACUUUCCAUAAUUUCUUGCAGUUAAGUAUACAGUUUCUGGUGCAGUGUAAUUUGGAAUGGUAUUGUUUAAAUAGUUUAGAUGAUCUCCAAAAUCACUUGAUACACUUUGUGGAUAUUCUAUCUCCAAGUAACGAGGAGAAUCAUUUUCCCAAUAACGAAACAUACCUGUAUCAUCACUUUGUGGUGAAAGUUUUUAAGAAGGGUAAGAUUGUCGUUUAGUUUGACAGAGAAAAGUGCAUUGGAGGGUUCAAAGUUUUUAUAAGAUGUUGAGUAAAAAUGAAGGCGAAGAAAAACAGGGCAACUAGGGAUGGUAGGAAAUGAGUAUGUGAAAUUUGAGAGCGAGAUACGUGCGGUUUUGAGUGGAAUUGGGAUAUUUGAAAGGUAAUCAUGGGGUAGUGACAAUUUAAGAGAUGGAUUUUUUGUUUUUGGCUCAAGGAAAGAAAAGAGUUCUGUGUUAUCAUUAUUAUCACCAACCCAAAUUCCUUCGUCCGAGUCAGUAUUGUUUAUAUCGGAACCACAACUGAUGGCUAAAUUGUAAAUUGGGUUGUAUGAGGUAGCAAUUAGAGGGAACAAUAGCAAAAUGAGAGAUAGUAUGCUGAUUUUUGACCGAUGCUUAAAGCGUCGAGGACUAGUUUUCCUAUUCACUCAUUAAGAUGACACUCACUCAUUAAGAUGACACAUAUGCAACAUGCUCCCUGAGGAAAAUAAUAUCCCUUGUGGAUAAUAACAAUAAGAUAUAUAGUAUACUAAGUGAUGAAAUCGUUUAUGUUAGAUGUUUCCCUAACCCACCAAGUACCCGCUCUAUUUUAGGUGCUGCAUUUGUAAAUAUACUGAUUACUGCAUAAUGCAAUAAUAUGUGAUUUGGAAUCUAAACAUUCUAUUGUUAUUUCCUUUUGAAUAGCUUGAGAUGGUGCUUAUAUCAGUUUUCCCUAACCAUCAUUGUUUGUUCAUUGCUCUUUAAAUACAGGACGUUGCAUUAGCAUCUGUUUCGAUGAGUUCAGUACCAUUCGCACCAGUUUUAGAGAAACUUUCCCUUUCAGAUGUGAAAUAUAGAACCGUAAGGCGGUUUUAUAUAAAAACUCUUGAAGACAAUGCCAUACCUACUGCACUGCAAGAAAACAUGAUAAAUGCAAGCCCUCCAGAAAAGGUUUUCCAUUUAAAGGGCGCUGAUCAUUCUCCUUUCUUCUCAAAGCCUCAAGCUCUUCAUAAGUUAUUGGUAGAAAUCUCAACAAUCCUUUGAGAGAAAAUUCAUUACCUAAAUUGUUUGUGAAGCUUCGUUCACGCUAAGGCUUCACUAACACGAAAUUUUAAUGUAUAGUUACUUUAUCAUGAAAGAGUAUUGUGUGCAAGUUACAGGUUUCCUUCUUCCCCUUCUUUUUUGGAGUUCGAAUUAGGAAAACCAGCUUGUAUAUCCAACCUAUAUGUAGCUCCUACACUUCAAAUUGAAGAUGUGUUCGUUACACAUGUCAUAUUCGGACAUAAGAGAGACACGUGUGGUUGAUUG
rnacentral:lncRNA from 1 species